AAUUUUGCGCAGUGGCGAUAACGUGACUAAUGAGGCUCUGCCGAGGUGCGUUUAUUGCUGGUUGAAAACUUUUCAUGUACAAUUUUCACGUCAAAUUGGACACCCUUUUCAUCAAAUUUGAUGCUUUUGAAAUCAA
rnacentral:snRNA from 1 species